AAGUUUAAGUUAAAUAUCCAAACUCAGAGCCUUCAAAGCCCUAAAUAGAGCAAUCACGCACUAGCUUCUG
rnacentral:tRNA from 1 species